rnacentral:ncRNA from 1 species
UGUUUAAUUAAAACAAAGCAUCAAGAAUGUCCAAGGCAGGGUUGGAAGGAUGUGAUUUCUGCUCAGUAGUCUGAAUGUCAAAGUGAAGAAAUUCAAUGAAGUAUGGGUAAAAAUCAGGAGUAAGUAUAACUCUUUUAAGGUAGCCAAUUGCCUCAUGAUCUAAUUAAUAAAUU